CCUACGUGAGGCAGCAGUGGGGAAUAUUGCGCAAUGGGCGAAAGCCUGACGCAGCGACGCCGCGUGAGGGAUGAAGGUCUUCGGAUCGUAAACCUCUGUCAGCAGGGAAGAACGGUCACUGUGCUAAUCAGCAGUGAAUUGACGGUACCUGCAAAGGAAGCACCGGCUAACUCCGUGCCAGCAGCCGCGGUAAUACGGAGGGUGCGAGCGUUAAUCGGAAUUACUGGGCGUAAAGCGCUCGUAGGCGGUAUGUCAAGUCAAGGGUGAAAUCCCCGCGCUCAACGUGUGAACUGCAUUUGAUACUGGCAGUCUGGAGUGUUUGAGAGGAUAGGGGAAUUCCAGGUGUAGGAGUGAAAUCCGUAGAUAUCUCGAAGAACAUCAGUGGCGAAGGCGACUAUCUAGC
rnacentral:rRNA from 1 species